rnacentral:rRNA from 1 species
CCUACGGGAGGCAGCAGUGAGGAAUAUUGGUCAAUGGGCGCGAGCCUGAACCAGCCAAGUCGCGUGAGGGAAGACGGUCCUAUGGAUUGUAAACCUCUUUUGUCGGGGAGCAAAAGACGCCACGUGUGGCUUUCCGAGCGUACCCGAAGAAAAAGCAUCGGCUAACUCCGUGCCAGCAGCCGCGGUAAUCCGGAGGAUGCGAGCGUUAUCCGGAUUUAUUGGGUUUAACGGGUGCGCAGGCGGAAGAUCAAGUCAGCGGUAAAAUUGAGAGGCUCAACCUCUUCGAGCCGUUGAAACUGGUUGUCUUGAGUGAGCGAGAAGUAUGCGGAAUGCGUGGUGUAGCGGUGAAAUGCAUAGAUAUCACGCAGAACUCCGAUUGCGAAGGCAGCAUACCGGCGCGCAACUGACGCUCAUGCACGAAAGUGUGGGUAUCGAACAGGAUUAGAUACCCUUGUAGUC